AUUGAACGCUGGCGGCAGGCCUAACACAUGCAAGUCGGACGGUAGCACAGAAGAGCUCGCUCUUUGGGUGGCGAGUGGCGGACGGGUGAGUAAUGUCUGGGAAACUGCCCGAUGGAGGGGGAUAACUACUGGAAACGGUAGCUAAUACCGCAUAACGUCGCGAGACCAAAGUGGGGGACCUUCGGGCCUCACACCAUCGGAUGUGCCCAGAUGGGAUUAGCUAGUAGGUGGGGUAAUGGCUCACCUAGGCGACGAUCCCUAGCUGGUCUGAGAGGAUGACCAGCCACACUGGAACUGAGACACGGUCCAGACUCCUACGGGAGGCAGCAGUGGGGAAUAUUGCACAAUGGGCGCAAGCCUGAUGCAGCCAUGCCGCGUGUAUGAAGAAGGCCUUCGGGUUGUAAAGUACUUUCAGCGGGGAGGAAGGCGGUGAGGUUAAUAACCUCGCCGAUUGACGUUACCCGCAGAAGAAGCACCGGCUAACUCCGUGCCAGCCGCCGCGGUAA
rnacentral:rRNA from 1 species